CCUACGGGUGGCAGCAGUAGGGAAUAUUGCUCAAUGGGGGAAACCCUGAAGCAGCAACGCCGCGUGGAGGAUGAAGGUUUUCGGAUUGUAAACUCCUUUUGUUGGAGAAUAUAAUGACGGUAUCUAACGAAUAAGCACCGUCUAACUCCGUGCCAGCACCCGCGGUAAUACGGGGGGUGCAAGCGUUACUCGGAAACAAUGGGCGUAAAGAGCGUGUAGGCGGGAUAGCAAGUCAGAUGUGAAAUCCUAUGGCUUAACCAUAGCACUGCAUUUGAAACUGUUAUUCUAGAGUAUGGGAGAGGUAGGCGGAAUUCGUGGUGUAGGGGUAAAAUGCGUAGAGAUCAAGAGGAAUACUGAUUGCGAAGGCGACCUGCUAGAACAUAACUGACGCUGAUGCGCGAAAGCGUGGGGAGCAAACAGGAUUAGAUACCCUUGUAGUC
rnacentral:rRNA from 1 species